rnacentral:rRNA from 1 species
AGAACGAACGCUGGCGGCAUGCCUAAUACAUGCAAGUCGAACGAACUCUUCGGAGUUAGUGGCGCACGGGUGCGUAACGCGUGGGAAUCUGCCCUUGGGUUCGGAAUAACAGUUGGAAACGACUGCUAAUACCGGAUGAUGACGAAAGUCCAAAGAUUUAUCGCCCAGGGAUGAGCCCGCGUAGGAUUAGCUAGUUGGCGAGGUAAAGGCUCACCAAGGCGACGAUCCUUAGCUGGUCUGAGAGGAUGAUCAGCCUCACGUGGGACUGAGACACGGCCCAGACUCCUGCGGGAGCAGCAGUAGGAUA